ACAAUUUAAAACCCUUAACGAGGAUCCAUUGGAGGGCAAGUCUGGUGCCAGCAGCCGCGGUAACACCAGCUCCAAUAGCGUAUAUUAAAGUUGUUGCAGUUAAAAAGCUCGUAGUUGGAAAUCUGGCCUUGAUACCUGACCUGUGCCUCCUUUCCGGGGGGUGCGUGUGUCGGUUGCUGUCUUGGCCAUCCAUUCGGGGAGAUGUUGUUUCCCUUUCUUUGGGCGAGAACACGAUCCGGAUCUUUUACUUUGAAAAAAUUAGAGUGUUCAAAGCAGGCUUUGAUGCCUUUGAAUACAUUAGCAUGGAAUAAUAAAAUAGGACUCUGGUUCUGUUUUGUUGGUGCUUUGGAACCAAAGUAAUGAUUGAUAGGGAUAGUUGGGGGUGCUUGCAUUGAACGGCCAGAGGUGAAAUUCUUGGAUUCGUUCAAGACAAACUACUGCGAAAGCAUUCACCAAGGAUGUCUUCUUUAAUCAAGAACGAAAGUUGGGGGAUCGAAGACGAUCAGAUACCGUCGUAGUCUCAACCAUAAACUAUGCCGACUAAGGAUCAGUGAACGUUGUAUUUAUAUGACCUCAUUGGCACUUUACGAGAAAUCAAAGUUUUUGGGUUCCGGGGGGAGUAUGGUCGCAAGGCUGAAACUUAAAGGAAUUGACGGAAGGGCACUACCUGGAGUGGAUUUUGCGGCUUAAUUUGACCCAACACGGGAAAACUUACCAGGUCCGACAUAGUUAGGAUUGACAGAUUGCAGAUCUUUCUUGAUUCUAUGGUUGGUGGUGCAUGGCCGUUCUUAGUUGGUGGAGUGAUUUGUCUGGUUUAUUCCGUUAACGAACGAGACCUCAGCCUGCUAAAUAGUCCAACGAACAUAUUUUUCGUGUUCGCUUUGGUACUUCUUAGAGGGACUGUCUGUUUCCAGCAGAAGGAAGUUUGAGGCAAUAACAGGUCUGUGAUGCCCUUAGAUGUUCUGGGCUGCACGCGUAAUACACUGUUGCAUUCAGCAAGUAUGUUUCUACCUUGACCGAAAGGUCUCGGGAAUCUUUGAAAAUGCAACGUGCUGGGGCUAGACUAUUGCAAUUAUUAGUCUUCAACGAGGAAUUCCUAGUAAACGCGAGUCAUCAACUCGCAUUGAUUACGUCCCUGCCCUUUGUACACACCGCCCGUCGCUCCUACCGAUUGAAUGAUCCGGUGAAAUCAGUGGACUGGUGCGCAGGUCAGUUUUCUGAACUGUGCUUUCGGGGAAGGGAAACCUUCUCCUCGGGAAGUUGAUUAAACCUUAUCAUUUAGAGGAAGGAGA
rnacentral:rRNA from 1 species